rnacentral:lncRNA from 1 species
UAACACAAUAAUUGAGCAAUUAAUGUUGGGAUCAAAAGAGGACCAAUUAUUGGAUAUAUGCUUAGAAGAAAAGAACUACAAAAGUUAAGGAACCUUGCACGGGAACUAAUCAAUGAUCAAUUGCUAUCUUAUACAGAUAACUUCUCUAAUACAGAUGAAUCUCACCUACAUUGGUAGGUCAACAAUAUAAUCAAUCAGUGUAGUAUAAAUAAUAUUUUUGUUACACUAAAAAGGUCUAAUCUCUCGUUCAUAUUUAUUUAUUGACUUAAUUAUGCUAAUGCUCGUUGCCCCUUUAAAAAUCACUUUAUUAUCUGAUAUUUUGCGUCUUACUUUAUUUUUGGGCAUUAAGUCUAUCGUCAUUGCUGACAUAGCAUGAAUGAGGUCAUUUUGUGCUAAUUUGUAUGUCAUGGAGGUAAAAAAUUUGUUGUUUUAAAAAAGUACGUUAAAAAAUGAGAAUUAAAAAGGCUAAUAAACCCCUUCAUUCAAGUUGACAAAAAUGCUAAGCGACAGAGGUUAAAAAGGCUAAUAAAACAAACCGCGCCGACUAUUUUCUAUUUGGUUGCUCAUCUUUAGCAAAAUUGCGUGCAUGCCCCAAAUAAACAAAAAGUACUGGUAUUGGUAUUUAGCGCGCUUCAUGUUUGACGCACGCCUUGUGCGCUUGAGAAUUGUGAUGGUUUUGUUUGGUUCGUGUGGGUGGGCGUGGGGAGUGACUAAAGAAUAUUCAACGCGGAGACGAUAUCUCAUAUGAUCCCAUUAAAAUGAUGCAACAGGUGGGGAUUGUGAAUAGUACCUUUUUCUUUUUUGGCCCCUCAGCUCAGGUGGGCUUAUG